rnacentral:lncRNA from 1 species
CACAGGUGUGUAGGGGCAACCCACCCCAACAGGCACCAGAAUCCAUUUCCCUGGCACCAGGGAAAUGACCACAGGAUGAGUUCGGGGACUCACUGGACCCACUGUAAGUCAGACCUGAGCUAAAACUCCAUUAAUUACCUGACCUCCAUAAGUCUCUACUUUAACUGGAGGACCAUAAUGACGUUUUGGGUCCCCUGGAAUCAACAUCAACUCAGAGCCAGCGUCCAGUAGUCCCCAAAAUGUCUGAUCAUUUCCCUUUCGCCAAUGCAGUUACCCUGGUAAAAGGCCGGAGAUCUCCUUGGGGAAGGAUGGGAGAAAGAUUUACUGCAUAAAUUGUUGGUAAUGUAGUGCAGUCCUUCCUCAAGGGGACCUGGUCUCCCCUUCGUUCAAGGGGUUCUGGGUCUGUAAACUGCUUCAAAUCUAGAAAUUGAUUGAGGGGCCAUGACUCUCUGUUUUUAUCAUUCAAAUUAGUCUUUUGUCCAUUCAACCUAGAAGUUUUCUCCUUAUAUAAAUUAAGUAGGAAUGCAGUAGGCUUCCUAUCAAUUUCACUUCUAGGAACACUGUGAUUAAUUAGCCAAUGCCAGAGCUCUACACAAGUCAGACUAUUCUGAUUGCUGCUUUGUCUCUGCUGUCCAUUAUGGUAGCUGUGCCCACCUUGCCUUUGACAGUCGAAUGCCACCGCUUGGCCACUGCCACCUUGUGAUCCAAUUAUUCUCAUUGUAUUUAAAUUUUGUAGUUGAGUGACUGUGGUUCCCACCGUUAGAUCUGACAUACACAGAAGAGCAAUUACAGGGCUCUUCAAAGAUUCAGGUGCUGCCCUCACAAAUCUAUUUUGCAAGGCAUUGGUAAAGGGUAUAUCUUCUGGACCCUCCCAGCUGAGAUGAGUAGGUCUAAUGUGACUAAUCCACUCCACCAUCCCAGUCUCCCUAAGCCUUUGGAUCCCUUCGUCUACAUUAAACCAAGGGAGAUCAGGCAUUUCCAGCUUGCUCACAGUUGGCCAUCUUUUAAUCCAUAUUUCAGCUAACUAAGCAAAUAAACUAUUAGAACCUUUUUUAACUCCCCAACCUGCAACAUUAAAUGCAGAGUCCCUACUUAGUGGGCCCAAAUCAAUAAAUUCAACCUGAUCCAACUCUGUGUUCCUUCCACCAUUAUCCCACACCCUUAAUAUCUAUUCCCAUGCCUGUUCUCCAGAUCUCUGUUUAUACAAAUUAAAGAACUCAAGCAGUUCUUUUUGAGUGUAGUGCACCUCCUUAUGGGUCACACUCUCAACUUCACUUCUAGGGGCCUGCUGGGACUUUAGUUAUAGGUCUAGAAGAAGCAAAUAGGGGUGUUGGGGUGGGAUCCUGAGGAGAAUCAACAUUUUUUUGCCUGGCAACUGCCUCAGGGGAGGCCAUUGCUGUUGCCUCAGGCAACACAGGGUUUAUCUCCUCAGACAGGUGGAAAGGCUGAUGGCAGCAUGGGUCAGGGACGGGAUGUUGCCACUACUGGGGAUGGGGAAGCUGUUCCUUCUGGCAAAAAAGAUUAAUCAGAGUUUCAAACUCAGUGUCCCCGGCUUCAUCAGGGUCCUCCCACACAUCCCCAUCCCAAGUUGCAGGGUCCCAUUCUUUUCCAAUCAAUGCCCUCACUUUAACAGUAGACACCUGGCAAGUCUGUGCAUGCACUUUUAGUUGCAGGUCAGCCAGUUACAUGAUCAGAUCCUGGGUUUGUUUUUCCACAAUUUCAGUUCUUCCUCUACAGGAGAUGAGACUCUCACUCAGGGUGAUCUUAGCAGAUUUGGGGCUCAGUAUCUGCUUCUGAAGCUGGAAGAUAGAAUCCCUGAGUUCAUCAUUUUCUUUCUUCACUUUGUCCACUGAACUUAGGAUCAAAGGUAUUAUGUCACAUCAUAGGAUUGUUGAAAUAAGGUGGUGUUUGAUCCUCAGGUUAUAUUUUAGUGAACAAUGUUAAUGUGUAUUCCAAAAUCACAUGGGAUUUCUAGAGUUCUGAUAUCUGAGUUUGUGUUAUCAAACAUAAUUAAGGUUAUUGUGUUAGAUUAUUUUAAGUCUCAGAGUUGACCAAAUUUCUUUGUCAGUUGUGUUUUUUACUGUGACUACCCUAGAACAUUUGGACAUUCAUAGACAAUUGUUGUCUUGUUUUGAUCCUCUUCAAAGGAUGGAUUAUAAACCUCAAGUGCAGGUUUCUGAUAACUUUGAAAAUUGUGAACAGGAGUUGACUGGGUAAACUGAAUGAACUUCCAAUAAAGCUUCCAAUAAGCUUCCAAUAAAGCCUAAUCUUUUUUGACUUUUUGCUUUUUGUUUGGAAUGUUGCUGAUCCUUAUGUUCUGUUUUUUCAGAAUGAAGGAAGUUUUUCUUUUGAGCUGUUUAUAGCUUUUAACAAUUAUAGGUUGAAUGAACCAGUGAUCUCUGACUGCAGCUCAGAAGAACCAAGGGAUGGGCCAUCAAACUUCAAAUGGCCAUGCAAAUGGAGCUUUGGACGAUGGCUGCCUUUUACUAGGGACUCUUAGAUAGGCCUCUGAGACCUGACUGUUGUUUUCCCAAAACAGCACCCCUUGUCAGCAUGAAACAAUUAGGAAUGGUCAUCAUCCCUAUCCUAAUAGCAAUUAGGUGUACUUCUUCAGAGGCAGAAAUGAUGACAGUGUGCCAUGACGCUGGCUGCACAGCUGGGGCUGCACACUCCAUGGAGCCAAUGGGAGCCCUGCCCCUUCUGAAUUGGGACAAGAGCUCCCUGGGUGCUGCUGCAGCCACCCAAACCGCAGCUGCAGACCCAGGCCUCCUGCUCUAGGAAGCAAGCAGGAGCCCCACCCUCUUGGACGGAGCUACAGCUACCCAAACUGCAUCUGUGGAUCCGAGCUUCCCUGUGCUCUUGAGGGAGAGCCGGGAGCAGGCCCACCCAUGGCUUCCCGUGGGCCAAUUGGCACAAACUUUCUUCCCUCUGAGGUCCAUAAAAGCCCUGGGGUCAGCCAGAGCAGGGCAGAGGAUGGCCAGAGGACAAAGAAGGCAGAAAGAUGUCAGUGCAACCAGCUGCAGAGAUGCAGAGAGGAGUAUCCUCUGCUGAGAGCUGCAGAGAUGACCUGUUGGCAGAGAGGAGCUACUCUCUCUGCAGAGAGCUUCAGAGACCUGCAGAGAUGUCUGAAUGACCUGCCUGCAGAGAGGAGCCACCCUCUCCAGGGCCUCCUCUCUGCUGAGAACUGAAUACUCCAUGGGAUGACCUGCCUACAGAGAGGAGCUACCCACUGUGGGUCUCUUCUGAGCUGUUCUAACACUAAAUAAAACUCUUCAUCUUCACCCUUCACUUGUCUGUGACCCUUAUUCUUCCUAGAUGCAGGACAAGAACAAGAACUCGAGCACCAUGGCCACAGAGGUUUUUCUGUAAGAAAAAUCGAUCCCAUAACACUAGGAUUACAGACACAAGCCACUGGGCCUG